CCCCCCCCCCCCCCCCCCCCCCCCCCCCCCCCCCCCCCCCCCCCCCCCGGGCUCCUGCUCCCGAGCGGCGGCUCUCGUGCCAGCGCUUCCCUCCUCUGCCCCCUCCGCUUUGCGCCACUCUUCUCCCCUUUCGCCCCCUUACCUCCCCCUCAUCCCCUCGCUUAUCUCUCUAAACCCCCCUCCACCCCUCUUACUCUCCUUUUUACCCCCGUUCACGCCUCUUGCCCCGUCUUGUCCUUCCCUUAUUUCCCUUUGUUGCUUCCUUCCCCCCUCCCCUUAUCUCCCUUCUUACCCCACCACCCCUCUUAUGCCUCCCCGGCCCCUUCUCCCUCCUCCUCCCACCUUUAACCCCUUAUCCCCCUUCACCCCUCCAAGCCCUCGUUCAGCCCCUUUAGCCCGUAAUCCCCCCUGUCGCCACAUGGAAUGCUGACGGUGGCUCCCGCCUCCCCGCAGGCACCGGGAGCUGCUGAAGGAGAAGCGGCGGCGGCACCAGGAGCUGGUCCCCCCCCCCCCCCCCCCCCCCCCCCCCCCCCCCCCCCCCCCCCCCCCCCCCCCCCCCCCCCCCCCCCCCCCCCCCCCCCCCCCCCCCCCCCCCCCCCCCCCCCCCCCCCCCCCCCCCCCCCCCCCCCCCCCCCCCCCCCCCCCCCCCCCCCCCCCCCCCCCCCCCCCCCCCCCCCCCCAAGGUACCGCGCCCCCCCCGCCGGCUGCGGGCAGGCCCUGGCGCUGUGUGCCGGCGGCGUCCCGCCCGCCUGACUCCCCUCUCUCUCUCCCCCACAGAAGCGCAAGCUGCUGCCCGAGGCCGUGCUGCAGGAGCUGCAGGAGCUGCAGGAGCUGCAGGAGCUGCAGGAGCUGCAGGAGCUGCAGGAGCUGCAGGAGCUGCAGGAGCUGCAGGAGCUGCAGGAGCUGCAGGAGCUGCAGGAGCUGCAGGAGCUGCAGGAGCUGCAGGAGCUGCAGGAGCUGCAGGAGCUGCAGGAGCUGCAGGAGCUGCAGGAGCUGCAGGAGCUGCAGGAGCUGCAGGAGCUGCAGGAGCUGCAGGAGCUGCAGGAGCUGCAGGAGCUGCAGGAGCUGCAGGAGCUGCAGGAGCUGCAGGAGCUGCAGGAGCUGCAGGAGCUGCAGGAGCUGCAGGAGCUGCAGGAGCUGCAGGAGCUGCAGGAGCUGCAGGAGCUGCAGGAGCUGCAGGAGCUGCAGGAGCUGCAGGAGCUGCAGGAGCUGCAGGAGCUGCAGGAGCUGCAGGAGCUGCAGGAGCUGCAGGAGCUGCAGGAGCUGCAGGAGCUGCAGGAGCUGCAGGAGCUGCAGGAGCUGCAGGAGCUGCAGGAGCUGCAGGAGCUGCAGGAGCUGCAGGAGCUGCAGGAGCUGCAGGAGCUGCAGGAGCUGCAGGAGCUGCAGGAGCUGCAGGAGCUGCAGGAGCUGCAGGAGCUGCAGGAGCUGCAGGAGCUGCAGGAGCUGCAGGAGCUGCAGGAGCUGCAGGAGCUGCAGGAGCUGCAGGAGCUGCAGGAGCUGCAGGAGCUGCAGGAGCUGCAGGAGCUGCAGGAGCUGCAGGAGCUGCAGGAGCUGCAGGAUGUGUCCGCGCGGUGAGGGGGCCGGGGGGCCGGCGGUGGCUGCUGGGAUCCCCAUCUCCGGAUCUCCCACCCGUGGGGGUUCCGUGCUUUUGGGUAAACAAAGGGAGUGUGAAUUGAAGAGUAACCUGAUGCCUUCCCUUUGCUCCCCAGGCCCGCUGAGCAGGCUGCAGCAGAUGACCCAGUUACUCCAGGUGAAGAACUUGAUGCUGAGGCUGUACAGCUGGAUGAAGACCAAGUCGAAGUGCAGGAGAAGAAAGGCAAGAAGAGCAAGGGUGCCAGGACAAAAGGGAACUACAUGGCUGUGUGCUUGA
ensembl:lncRNA